rnacentral:rRNA from 1 species
UACGUAGGGGGCAAGCGUUGUCCGGAAUUAUUGGGCGUAAAGCGCGCGCAGGCGGCCUUUUAAGUCUGAUGUGAAAGCCCACGGCUUAACCGUGGAAGGUCAUUGGAAACUGGAAGGCUUGAGUACAGAAGAGGAAAGCGGAAUUCCACGUGUAGCGGUGAAAUGCGUAGAGAUGUGGAGGAACACCAGUGGCGAAGGCGGCUUUCUGGUCUGUAACUGACGCUGAGGCGCGAAAGCGUGGGGAGCAAACAGG